CGCUGCCGCCGCCUCGGGUCCCGGAGGCAGGAGCGACGUCACCGCCAUGGCGGGCAUCAAAGCUUUGAUUAGUUUGUCCUUUGGAGGAGCAAUUGGGCUGAUGUUUUUGAUGCUUGGAUGUGCCCUUCCAAUAUACAACCAAUACUGGCCCCUCUUUGUUCUGUUUUUUUUACAUCCUUUCACCUAUUCCGUACUGCAUAGCAAGAAGAUUAGUGGGUGAUACGGACGCCAUGAGUAACGCCUGUAAGGAACUUGCCAUAUUUCUUACAACAGGCAUUGUGGUCUCAGCUUUUGGACUCCCUAUUGUAUUUGCUAGAGCACACCUGAUCGAGUGGAGAGCUUGUGCACUUGUCCUCACCGGAAACACAGUCAUCUUUGCAACCAUCCUGGGCUUUUUCUUGGUCUUUGGCAGCAAUGACGACUUCAGCUGGCAGCAGUGGUGAAAAGAAUUACUGAACUCUUGUCAGAUGGACUUCUUGUCAUUUCUCAGCCGUCCGCACACACGGGAGAUGGGGCAGUGAUACUGAGCGGUGGAGCAAGCCUCUUGGGGGUGUUCUAGGUGAUCCCUUCUCGCUUGUAUUGUAAGCAUACUAUUUUUACAGAGACUUACUGAAGGAUUAAAAGGAUUUUCUCUUUUGGAAAA